CAAGAAGGUUACGUUUUUCCCUAAACCAGCAAGACUUUGUGAAUUCAACAUGGGAAAUUGUCGCGCUAACAAUGAAUACUUUAAGGUGUGAAGUAGAUGACAUCGACGACCACCAUCUACAAUUACUAUAUCAGAAUUCUGAUGGUACAUUGUCAAAGAUUGUCGAGAAACUCGGUAAAAGUCUGACAUACACGUUCCGGCCAGGUUUUAACAGUUCUGGUGUCUACGUCUGCCAGAUUGGACAACAA
rnacentral:sRNA from 1 species